AGAGUUUGAUCAUGGCUCAGGAUGAACGCUGGCGGCGUGCCUAACACAUGCAAGUCGAACGGAGCACUGAGACUUCGGUUUUUGUGCUUAGUGGCGGACGGGUGAGUAACACGUGAGCAAUCUGCCUUUCAGAGGGGGAUAACGACUGGAAACGGUCGCUAAUACCGCAUAACGUAUUUUGCAGGCAUCUGCGAGAUACCAAAGGAGCAAUCCGCUGAAAGAUGAGCUCGCGUCUGAUUAGAUAGUUGGUGAGGUAACGGCCCACCAAGUCGACGAUCAGUAGCCGGACUGAGAGGUUGAACGGCCACAUUGGGACUGAGACACGGCCCAGACUCCUACGGGAGGCAGCAGUGGGGAAUAUUGCGCAAUGGGGGAAACCCUGACGCAGCAACGCCGCGUGAUCGAAGAAGGUCUUCGGAUUGUAAAGAUCUUUUAUCAGGGACGAAGAAAGUGACGGUACCUGAUGAAUAAGCUCCGGCUAACUACGUGCCAGCAGCCGCGGUAAUACGUAGGGAGCGAGCGUUAUCCGGAUUUACUGGGUGUAAAGGGCGAGUAGGCGGGCUGGUAAGUUGGAAGUGAAAUGUCGGGGCUUAACCCCGGAACUGCUUUCAAAACUGCUGGUCUUGAGUGAUGGAGAGGCAGGCGGAAUUCCUAGUGUAGCGGUGAAAUGCGUAGAUAUUAGGAGGAACACCAGUGGCGAAGGCGGCCUGCUGGACAUUAACUGACGCUGAGGAGCGAAAGCGUGGGGAGCAAACAGGAUUAGAUGCCCUGGUAGUCCACGCCGUAAACGAUGGAUACUAGGUGUGGGAGGUAUUGACCCCUUCCGUGCCGCAGUU
rnacentral:rRNA from 1 species